UGAAUACGAGACGCUACGGCGUCGAAGCAGUCUAUGUCAUACUUCCAAGAAAAGCUUGCACUGUCAUAAACAAAUAAUGCCUGUACCAUAACCGACACAGGUGGGUAGGUAGAGUAUACUAAGGGGCGCGAGAUAACUCUCUCUAAGGAACUCGGCAAAAUGACUCCGUAACUUCGGGAGAAGGAGUGCCUUAUUCGUAAGGUUGCAAUAACAAGAUCCAAGCAACUGUUUAUCAAAAACACAGGUCUCCGCUAAGUCGUAAGACGAUGUAUGGGGGCUGACGCCUGCCCAGUGCCAGAAGGUUAAAGAAGUUGGUUAGCAUUCCCGAAGCUGAUAACUGAAGCCCUGGUGAACGGCGGCCGUAACGAUAACGGUCCUAAGGUAGCGAAAUUCCUUGUCGGGUAAGUUCCGACCCGCACGAAAGGCGUAAUGAUUUGGAUACUGUCUCGGAGAGAGGCUCGGUGAAAUAGACUUGUCUGUGAAGAUGCGGACUACCUGCACCUGGACAGAAAGACCCUAUGAAGCUUUACUGUAACUUGAAAUUGAAAUUGGACUUUAUUUGCGCAGUAUAGGUGGGAGGCGUUGAGAAUAUUCUUGCGGGAAUAUUGGAGCCAUCAGUGAGAUACCACUCUUGUAAUGUUAGAUUUCUAACUUUGGAUCAUUAUCUGGUCAAAGGACAGUUUCAGGCGGGCAGUUUGACUGGGGCGGUCGCCUCCCAAACGGUAACGGAGGCGUACAAAGGUUUCCUCUGAACGGGUAGAAAUCGUAUCUAGAGUGUAAAGGCAUAAGGAAGCUUGACUGUGAGACCUACAAGUCGAGCAGGGACGAAAGUCGGUCUUAGUGAUCUGACGGUGCUGAGUGGAAAGGCCGUCACUCAACGGAUAAAAGUUACUCUAGGAUAACAGGCUGAUCUCCCCCAAGAGUUCACAUCGACGGGGAGGUUUGGCACCUCGAUGUCGGCUCAUCGCAUCCUGGGGCGGUAGUACGUCCCAAGGGUUGGGCUGUUCGCCCAUGAAAGCGGUACGCGAGCUGGGUUCAGAACGUCGUGAGACAGUUCGGUCCAUAUCCGGUGUAGGCGUUAGAAUAUUGAGAGGAGCCUUCUUUAGUACGAGAGGACCGAGAAGGACAUACCUCUGGUGUACCAGUUAUCGUGCCAACGGUAAACGCUGGGUAGCUAUGUAUGGAGAGGAUAACCGCUGAAAGCAUCUAAGUGGGAAGCCCACCUCAAGAUAAGUAUUCU
rnacentral:rRNA from 1 species